rnacentral:misc_RNA from 1 species
GAUGAAGAACGCAGCGAAAUGCGAUACUUGGUGUGAAUUGCAGAAUCCCGUGAACCAUCGAGCCUUUGAACGCAAGUUGCGCCCGAAGCCAUCAGGUUGAGGGCACGUCUGCCUGGGCGUCACAUAUCGUUGCCCAAUGCCUAUUGCAGUGCAAUAGGAAUUUCUAGGGCGAAUGAUGGCUUCCCGUGAGCGUUGUUGCCUCGCGGUUGGUUGAAAAUCGAGUCCUUGGUAGGGUGUGCCAUGGUAGAUGGUGGUCGAGUUAGAACGAUACCGAUCAUGUGCAUGCUCCCCAAAAUAUGGCCUCUAUGACCCACACGCGUCUUUUGACGCUCAUGACGAGACCUCAGGUCAGGCGGGGCUACCCGCUGAAUUUAAGCAUAUCAUAAGCGGAGGA